rnacentral:rRNA from 1 species
GACGAACGCUGGCGGCGUUCUUAACACAUGCAAGUCGAACGGAAAGGCCUGCUUUCCCUUGUGGAUUGCGGGUACUCGAGUGGCGAACGGGUGAGUAACACGUGAGUGAUCUGCCCCCAACUUGGGUAUAAGCCUGGGAAACUGGGUCUAAUUCCCGAUAGGACUGCAGGGUGGUGCCUGUGGUGGAACACGAUUUUCUAGUGGUUGGGGAUGAGCUCGCGGCCUAUCAGCUUGUUGGUGGGGUAAUGGCCUACCAAGGCGGCGACGGGUAGCCGGCCUGAGAGGGUGGACGGCCACAUUGAGACUGAGAUACGGCCCAGACUCCUACGGGAGGCAGCAGUGGGGAAUAUUGCACAAUGGGCGGAAGCCUGAUGCAGCGACGCCGCGUGGGGGAUGACGGCCUUCGGGUUGUAAACUCCUUUCGACCGCGAGGAAGCCACCUGGUUGGAAGGGUGGUGACGGUAGUGGUAGAAGAAGCACCGGCUAACUACGUG